CAGGUUUGGAUGACCUCCACAGAGAAGUCAAGCCAAUUCCCAUGAGGUUUAAACACAGUGCUCCCAGGAAGGCUAGUCAAAGUUGAAGGACAGACCUGGAAGAGAUCUCAUGGAGCCCAUUUCGUUCAGUCACUUUGUUUUACAACGAUGGACCUGAGGCUCGUAAAGGCCCAUCCUAGACUACAGAAAAUGACCUGAUCCCUUUUUCUGUUGCCUGGAGCCUGUGUAAAGCCCAUCUCAGAACCAGCCCCACAACCAGCCUAAUUGGGUAGCAUAACUCUGCCACUGGGGGAAGAAAUCAGCCGGUGAAGAUUGGGACUCUCACAAGCCUCCUUCUCCCUUUUGGUCCUCUCCCAAGAGAUUCCUGUCUACGACAGACUCUGGACAUCCUGCUCAGAGACCACAAGAAGCAAGUUUCCUAUAUCACAGAACCAAGAAGCAGCAGAAUUCUUCUCAGUAUAAAGAGAAUGGGAUGGAUGUAUCAAAUUAGCUUAUGAGAUACUCUGGAAUUUUCUGGAAGACAGAAAGUGGUUGGAAGGAUAGUGACCUGGACAAAGGGAAGCUGGGGCAUUUAUGCAAGGACACCCCUCUCCCCUAGGUCCCUAGGUCAGGAUCUGCCUUGUAGAGGUCACUGGGGCCACAAAUGCCACUGUGAGGACAUGUCUGAGCUUGUACAGAACCAUCCAUCUCAACUGCUGCUGCAAUUCAAGGGGGGCUGCAGGGGUGGGCAGCUGGCACCAGAGAGGACACAAUUGCCACACCCAGCUGGAAAUGGAAGAGUCAGAACUCAAUCGUGCAUCUGAAUAGGACAGUCCUGUUUAAAAGUGUCUGGGGCUUCCCCACAACCAAAGUUGAAGGAUAAGAAUGAUUUUCAGAUCCUUUAAGCUCGUGUGUGUGUGCAUUUUUCAGGGGUGAGAAAGUCUAUAAUUUUCAUCAUGUUUUCAGAAGGGUCCAUGAUAAGUGCUUAAGACCCACAAACAACAAGUUUCUUAACAUGACAGGUGUGGUUCUGUACAUCCAGACUCACCGACCUCUCCAGAGCCUCAUCUCCUCCCAGUGUCCUCUCCCCAUCCAUCCUCCCACACUCACUGAACCCUGGGUUCCAGUCAGAGACCUUCUCACCAGUCUCAAGAGCCAUAAGCUCUUAACUACAACUUUGAUUUAAUACACGUCUUUCUCUCUGCCAAGAAUGCUAUUCCCCCUUUGCCACUUCCUCAGGCCCUGCUCUAAACAGGGUAUACUUCUUAUCCUUUAAGACUCAGCAAUAAAAUCAUCUCUUCUGCUGUGCCCACUGCCCCCUUCACCGGCCCAGUCUCUUCCUCCAUGUUUUCCUAAUCAAUUUCAUUCACCUGUGAACAUAGCACUUAAGCUUUGGUGUUGCAACUCUUCCUGGGCUCUCUCUUCCAUUCAUCAGUGAAUUCUUGAAAGCACAGACCAUGCCCUCACCACCCAAACCAUAACCCGCAACAGCAGACUAUGCUAGCACUGGAGCAGUGAAGGGACUGGGUGGAAUGCAUGAAGACGGGAUUGACUGCAUUUAUCAACGUGGCCAUAUAUCUCCUUGGAUCUUACAGACAGCCUGACCUUGAGAGGCUGGAUCUUCAUAACCAGGCUCCUUGCUCAGGUUGUUAGAAUCUGUCCUGGUCCAACUGCACAUUUCUGGCUGAUUCCUACUCAUUUUUAAAGAACGACUGUGAAAAAAGAAUAAUCAGAACUAGGAAGGAGACUUGGAAAUUAAAAAUGUAACUGGUGACAAAAAAAAUUCAGUAGGAGGUCUGGAAGGGAGAGUUAGAGGAGAUCUUAGAAAGUGGAGAAAGCACCCAAGGCUGGUAUGCAUGUCCUUUUUUGAGGCAUCCUGGACAUGCCUUCCCACCAGAGCAUGUAUCUGUCACCCUGCAUUGUAAUGGCCAGUUGAUGGAUUUCUAACCCCCAGUAGGCUGGGCUUCCUUCAGAGCUGGGACUGUGUCUCUUUCCGCCCCAUCACCUCUCACAGUGCUUGGCACAGAGUAGGUGCUAACACACAUUUCUAUUUAAAGAAUGAACAAUAAACCCAUGAAGGAGUGAAGACAAGCUUCAGCUGGGCUCGGGGUUGAGCGAGGCUCUGUAGUAACUAGUUCUGGGGUUUGUAGAAAAGCUGGGUGACUGCAGAUCCCAGGGGUACUCCUCCAGGGAAAGGGCCAGACUGGGGCAGCAGGCAGGGUCCCAGCUAUUGUGAGUUUGCCUGAACAGGGAAAGGGUGAUAAGCAGGGCAGACACGAGUGGCUGGAUCCACUGAGAACCGGAAGAGAAGAAAGGAGAGGGGAGAGCUCAGCCAGCAGUUAAUAUUUUGUGAGGAAUUUCUAUGUGCCAGACCCUGCAUUAAGGACUUGUCAUGCAUUCCCUCACUUACCCUUCAUAAGCCUCCCACAAAAAUAGCUACAAUUUUUACUGCAUCCAUUUUCUAAAUGAAAAGAUGAGGUGUCCACAUAAGUAUCUAACCCAAGGUUCUAGAGCUGGUAAAAUGGAUUUGGGAUCUGUGUGGCUCUAAUUACUGGGCUGGUGUUCCUGGAAAAAAGUCCCAUCUGCCAGAGGUUGGUUCUUGCUGGGUAUCACAGCUAGGGGACCCUGCUGAAGAUGCUGAGUCUUUCCCAAAUGACUGCAGGCUCCCUUUCCCAGAAAACGCUGUGUGGGAGAGUAAAUAGCUGGGUUUGGGGCAUAAUGGUUUUCUUCUGUUUUGUGUUACUGGAUUUGAUGCACAGAAAACUGCCCAGACCUCAAAUAAUUACAGUAAGACGACUCUGCUUCCUUCACGUGGCCACAGCAGACAGGCAGGAGCCCAGAGACACUGCAAAGUGAGUGUUGUAACCAUCAGAUGGGAAAAAGCAGGAGCCCAGAAUUGGGAAUUUCAGACAGAACCGCAAGUACAGCGUGGCAUUUGGCAGAGAUGAGUAAAGCCCCCACCCCUAAGAGUUCACUGGCUUGUUUCAUGUAAAAAAAUCACUUAAUAAAACACUUAAUAAAAAGACUUUGAAGACAUGUAAUUAAGGGGGAAGAAGGCAAGUUGUAAGACAGUUUGUGCACUGGGUACCAUUUGUGUCAGAGAAAAAUGCCACCAGACAGACAGUCUACAGUCUAGACGACCAUACACUGU